ACGGGUGAGUAACGCGUGGAUAACCUGCCUUAUACAGGGGGAUAACGGAGAGAAAUUUCCGCUAAGACCGCAUAAGACCACAGCGCCGCAUGGUGCAGGGGUAAAAUAUUAAUAGGUAUAAGAUGGAUCCGCGUCCGAUUAGCUGGUUGGUGAGGUAGAGGCUCACCAAGGCGACGAUCGGUAGCCGGCCUGAGAGGGUGAACGGCCACAUUGGGACUGAGACACGGCCCAAACUCCUACGGGAGGCAGCAGUGGGGAAUAUUGGACAAUGGGGGAAACCCUGAUCCAGCGACGCCGCGUGAGUGAAGAAGUAUUUCGGUAUGUAAAGCUCUAUCAGCAGGGAAGAAAGUGACGGUACCUGACUAAGAAGCCCCGGCUAACUACGUGCCAGCAGCCGCGGUAAUACGUAGGGGGCAAGCGUUAUCCGGAUUUACUGGGUGUAAAGGGAGCGCAGACGGCCAAGCAAGUCUGAAGUGAAAUGCAUGGGCUCAACCCAUGAAUUGCUUUGGAAACUGUUCGGCUGGAGUGUCGGAGGGGUAAGCGGAAUUCCUAGUGUAGCGGUGAAAUGCGUAGAUAUUAGGAGGAACACCGGAGGCGAAGGCGGCUUACUGGACGACAACUGACGUUGAGGCUCGAAGGCGUGGGGAGCAAACAGGAUUAGAUACCCU
rnacentral:rRNA from 1 species